rnacentral:rRNA from 1 species
UACGGAGGAUCCAAGCGUUAUCCGGAUUCAUUGGGUUUAAAGGGUGUCGUAGGCGGAAUGAAUGAAGUCAGUGGUGAAAUCCUGCAGCUUAACUGCAGAACUGCCAUUGAUACUGUCAAUCUUGAGUACAUUUGAUGUGGGCGGAAUGUGUCAUGUAGCGGUGAAAUGCUUAGAUAUGACACAGAACACCGAUUGCGAAGGCAGCUCACAAAACUGUAACUGACGCUGAAGGCACGAAAGCGUGGGUAGCGAACAGG